UAGGGAAUAUUGGUCAAUGGGCGCAAGCCUGAACCAGCCAUGCCGCGUGCAGGAUGAAGGUUCUCUGAGUUGUAAACUGCUUUUGUACAGGAGCAAAACAAUCCCUGCGGGGGUUCUUGAGAGUACUGUAAGAAUAAGCACCGGCUAAUUCCGUGCCAGCAGCCGCGGUAAUACGGGAGGUGCAAGCGUUAUCCGGUUUUAUUGGGUUUAAAGGGUGCGUAGGCGGCUUAUUAAGUCAGUUGUGAAAUCCUAGUGCUUAACGCUAGAACUGCGAUUGAUACUAUUAGGCUUGAGUUGAGAAGGGGUAGGCAGAAUUUAUGGUGUAGUAGUGAAAUGCUUAGAUAUCAUAAGGAAUACCAAUAGCGUAGGCAGCUUACUGGUCUUUAACUGACGCUGAGGCACGAAAGCGUGGGGAGCAAACAGG
rnacentral:rRNA from 1 species